rnacentral:tRNA from 1 species
GGGCGGUUGGCUCAGCGGGAGAGCACUUCGUUCACACCGAAGGGGUCGCCGGUUCGAAUCCGGCACUGCCC